AAUAUUAAGUCAGUGGUGAAAUCCUGCAGCUUAACUGUAGAACUGCCAUUGAUACUGAUAUUCUUGAAUGUAGUUGAGGUGUGCGGAAUGUGUAAUGUAGCGGUGAAAUGCUUAGAUAUUACACAGAACACCGAUUGCGAAGGCAGCUCACUAAACUAACAUUGACGCUGAUGCACGACAGCGUGGGGAGCGAACAGGAUUAGAUACCCUGGGUAGUCCACGCUGUAAACUAUGAUCACUCGCUGUUGGCAAUACAUCGUCAGCGGCUGAGCGAAAGCAUUAAGUUGAUCCACUUGGGGAUUACGUUCGCAAGAUUGAAACUCAAAGGAAUUGACGGGGGCCCGCACAAGCGGAGGGAACAUUGUGGUUUAAUUCGAUGAUACGCGAGGAACCUUACCUGGGCUUAAAUGCAGAUCGACGCUCCGGGAAACCGGAAUUCCUUCGGGCGAACUGCAAGGUGCUGCACGGCUGUCGUCAGCUCGUGCCGUGAGGUGUCGGGUUAAGUCCCAUAACGAGCGCAACCCUUAUCGUUAGUUGCCAGCGGGUAAUGCCGGGGACUCUAACGAAACUGCCGGUGUAAACCGUGAGGAAGGUGGGGAUGACGUCAAGUCAGCACGGCCCUUAUGUCCAGGGCUACACACGUGUUACAAUGGUCGGUACAAAGGGCAGCUACCAGGCGACUGGAUGCUAAUCUCAAAAACCGAUCUCAGUUCGGAUUGAAGUCUGCAACUCGACUUCAUGAAGCUGGAUUCGCUAGUAAUCGCGCAUCACCCAUGGCGCGGUGUAUACGUUCCCGGGCAUUGUACGCACCGCCCGUCAAGCCAUGGAGCUUGGGUACCUGAAGUCCGUA
rnacentral:rRNA from 1 species